GUCUCUUUUUGGCUGGGAAGUUUGCAAGGGCAAACCAAACAAAUUUGGCAGUCUGAUUGAAGAAGUUUCCCUUCAGAGACCUCCUGGCCAGUGGCCUCAGCACGGAGCCGCCGGUUCCCAGGUCAACUUGUGUCUAGGACCCUCCUUGCAGGAAGACGCAGUGGGAUAUGCAGAAUGCACCCAGCAGAGGUGCUACCUGGAUAAAGAGAAGCAAAGGCUGGGGCUGACAUGGAAGAGUGUGAACUGUACAGUAGAUAAAAGCUAAGAUUAUCAAUUCACUGUGGGCCCUGGUGUAUAAAUGCAUCCCUGCUUAUUUAUAGCCACAUGUGCCUCAGACACUCACCAUCUCUAAACAUGCACUGCGAGCACAAAACCCCACAGAGGUGGGAUUCCCGGGGAUGGGGGACAAAAACAAUCUUAGCAGUGGACAGAAAUAAUAUUUACCCCUGAUUCCAAAACCAAAGGUAUUGGGACUGGGUAGAUGCCCCAACCAUAAAGGGCUUGACAUACAAGCUCGAGAAACUGGGUUUACCAUAGGUCUCACGUAAAAAGCCAGGAGGGUGCACAUUUGCAAUUCCAAUGCAUGUGAGGCAAAGAUAAAUGAAUCCCUGGGGCUUGCUGGCCAGUCAGCCUAGCUUACUUCACGAGUUCCACUCCAGCCAGAGUCCCUGUCUCAAAGAACCAUUCGGCUGCUAAGGAAUGAUGUCGGCCUCUACAUUCAAGCACACACAUACAUACAACUGCCCUUACCUGAAUAUCUACACACACACACACACACACACACACACACACACACACACACACACUAAAUGACAGCAGGAACAACAAAGGAAAUCCAAAGUUAUCUUUUUCAGUAGGAACUCCUGGGUCUAUUCUGCCUAU
rnacentral:lncRNA from 1 species